rnacentral:rRNA from 1 species
CACGUGAGCAACCUGCCCCUGACUCUGGGAUAGCCUCGGGAAACCGGGAUUAAUACCGGAUAUGACACCUCCUCGCAUGGGGUGGUGUGGAAAGUUUUUCGGUCAGGGAUGGGCUCGCGGCCUAUCAGCUUGUUGGUGGGGUGAUGGCCUACCAAGGCGACGACGGGUAGCCGGCCUGAGAGGGUGACCGGCCACACUGGGACUGAGACACGGCCCAGACUCCUACGGGAGGCAGCAGUGGGGAAUAUUGCGCAAUGGGCGAAAGCCUGACGCAGCGACGCCGCGUGAGGGAUGAAGGCC